rnacentral:rRNA from 1 species
CGCGCCGCAGCUAACGCAUUAAGUGCCCCGCCUGGGGAGUACGGCCGCAAGGCUAAAACUCAAAGGAAUUGACGGGGGCCCGCACAAGCGGCGGAGCAUGCGGAUUAAUUCGAUGCAACGCGAAGAACCUUACCAAGGCUUGACAUGUUCUCGAUCGCCGUAGAGAUACGGUUUCCCCUUUGGGGCGGGUUCACAGGUGGUGCAUGGUUGUCGUCAGCUCGUGUCGUGAGAUGUUGGGUUAAGUCCCGCAACGAGCGCAACCCUCGUUCCAUGUUGCCAGCACGUAAUGGUGGGGACUCAUGGGAGACUGCCGGGGUCAACUCGGAGGAAGGUGAGGACGACGUCAAAUCAUCAUGCCCCUUAUGUCUUGGGCUUCACGCAUGCUACAAUGGCCGGUACAAUGGGUUGCGAUACUGUGAGGUGGAGCUAAUCCCAAAAAGCCGGUCUCAGUUCGGAUUGGGGUCUGCAACUCGACCCCAUGAAGUCGGAGUCGCUAGUAAUCGCAGAUCAGCAACGCUGCGGUGAAUACGUUCCCGGGCCUUGUACACACCGCCCGUCAAGUCACGAAAGUCGGUAACACCCG